CGGCGGACGGGUGAGUAAUGCCUAGGAAUCUGCCUGGUAGUGGGGGACAACGUUUCGAAAGGAACGCUAAUACCGCAUACGUCCUACGGGAGAAAGCAGGGGACCUUCGGGCCUUGCGCGAUUGAAUGAGCCGAUGUCGGAUUAGCUAGUUGGCGGGGUAAAGGCCCACCAAGGCGACGAUCCGUAGCUGGUCUGAGAGGAUGAUCAGCCACACUGGAACUGAGACACGGUCCAGACUCCUACGGGAGGCAGCAGUC
rnacentral:rRNA from 1 species